rnacentral:rRNA from 1 species
UACGGGGGGAGCAAGCGUUGUUCGGAUUUACUGGGCGUAAAGGGCGCGUAGGCGGCCAGCACAAGUCAGCUGUGAAAUCUCCGAGCUUAACUCGGAACUGUCAGCUGAUACUGAUGUGCUAGAGUGCGGAAGGGGCAAUCGGAAUUCUUGGUGUAGCGGUGAAAUGCGUAGAUAUCAAGAGGAACACCUGAGGUGAAGACGGGUUGCUGGGCCGACACUGACGCUGAGUGCGCGAAAGCCAGGGGAGCAAACGGG